CUCUGACAUAACCCCUCUAUUUCUACUCUGAACUCAUCUUUUAUUACCCAGGACAUUGCUAAUAAGGAUGGGUAGUCCUAGGGUUCUGUCCUUGCAUUUCUGCUAUACUAGAAAAUACUUGGAUUUUUGAGUCUUUAAAUCACAGUUCCAGAACUUACUAACUGGGUAAUUUUUGUGAAGUUGCUUACUCUUAAUUUCUCAGUUUCUUCUUCUAUAAAAUUGGGAUAAUGCCAACUUCCAUGGUCAAGAAGAUUAAAUUAAAAUUAUCUAACAAUACCUAAGACAAUGAAUAAAAGGAUAGGAAGCUAGAAACAGGGGUAGUUACAUUUACAGUAAAGCUAGUUGGAUAGGAAAUGUAGAAGGUUCUUGGUGCUCCACAGAUGUCCCUGACACUCAGCAUUUCCUAUGUGCUGACUCUCCUUACUGCAAGUGCUGGUGACCCUGCUGCAGCCUUUAUCUGUCUGUGGGAGCUGCCUUGGCCCACACUUGGGUCAGAAAAGAAGUGUCAGGGAGUAACACCCCUGGGGCGGCCCUCAACCAGUGACAGAGGGAGGCCAUGGAUAAAUGCCACGGGCUCUUGCCUCCCAAGUGAGACAACUCUGAGGCGUGAUCUAUGCUGCCCCUGAGACCCCCCAGGAAUUCUGAGCCCCAGCUGCCCGCAGUGACAACUGACUCACAACACACCCUGUACUGGCUUUCUUUCCUUUUCUGUCUCACUUCCACACUCACUUCCCAGUGCUUCCUGGGAUCCCUGGAUCCUUUUCUCAGCAUCUGUUUCUGGAGGGACACAUCCCGAAAUAGGAAGGACUAUUUUCAGUAGUCACUAUAAAGUAGGAGGUGUAACUGUGUGUAACUUCGUGGGGUUAUAGGGUGGAGGAGUUGAAAGAAGAAAACAGAGGCUUUUAGGGUAGAAAUCCUCUAGAACAGUGAUUCUCUGCGUUGGUGUGCUAGGGAGUCACCAAGUGCUUUGGAAGUGAAAUGGAGAGGUAGGAGCACGGGAGUGGCUCAAGUUAGAUGACUCUGAGGAGGAAAUGAGCCACGGCUUCAAAGUUCCACCUCUUUCUUCAAAGCACAGUUACCUGGAAACACAAACGAAAAUGAAUGAGAGGAAGAUGAAGAACAGGAGCAAUAAGAAGAGGAGGAGGAAAUCCCAUCUAAUUGUAUCUACCACACUGCCACUACUUUACAUGUAUUUCCAUGGGUUCUUUGGAAGUGAAGUCCAGGAUUUGGGGGCACACAGGGAGUCUAUGAUUCUAGUAAGCAAGGCAGGAAGCAGUGAAGGCAAAUAGAAUUAGUGAAUGAAAUGAGAUAGGUUGUGUGAGGCAGGAGAGAUUCCAGGGAAGCCAGAGAUGGGCUUGCUGGGUGGGGUGAAGGAGAUGACAGGCUGUGACUGCAAAUGGUAUAAUAGAUCUCAGAAACACAGGUUACCCUGAGUGUUAACGACACUGACUAAGGCAGGUCAAAGGUGGAGGUCUUUGACCCAGGAAAUACCUCUGGGGUAAAGGAAUCUAAAAGGUUAAUGUGGAUUCCAAAGUCAAUACAGAUUAUGGCAAAGGGCAGGGCAGAGGAGCAGGGCCGAUUCCGCUGCUGAAGUAGGCUUGGGAAGUGAGGAUGGAUCCGGUGAGUCCCGGCACUGAGAACUGCACAGUCUUCAACUGAGCAGAGAGAGUGGGUGAGGGUAAUUGGAGGGUGAGAAAGCACACUGGAGGGAAGAAAGACAGCUGGCCGCUCCAUCUCACCCGCUGACUUGAGCAGAGAAGAUAAGGCUAUCAUGCUGAAAACGGUUGGGAGAACAGUGAUUUCACAGGAGAGCAUCUUUCAGGCCAGGAGGUAGAAGAAAGAGGAUUUAUGUGAAUGGGGACUGUGAUGGUUAAUUUUCUGUGUCCAAUUGGCUAGACCACAGUAUUUAGUUAAAUAUUAUUCUAAUUAUUUCUGUGAGCAUAUUUUUUAGAUGAGAUUACCGUUUAAAUCAUCAGACUUUGAGUAAAGCAGAUUACCUUCCGUAAUGUGGGUGGCUCUCAUCUGAUCAGCUGGAGGCCUUAACAGAUAAAGACUCCCUCUCCUUCCCAUUAGGCAGAAAGAAUUCUGCCAGCGGACUGCCUUUGGACUUGACCAGCAAUACCAAGUCUUCCCUGGGGCUCCAGCUGACCAGCUCACUCUGAAGAUUUUGGACUUGCCUGCGUGUACAAUAAUACGGAGUUUUGCUCUUGUUGCCCAGACUGGAGUAUAAUGGCACGACUUUGGCUCACCGCAACCUCUGCCUCCCGGGUUCAAGCGAUUCUCCUGCCUCAGCCUCCCAAGAAGCUGGGAUUACAGGCAUGCGUCACCAUGCCCAGCUAAUUUUGUAUUUUUAGUAGAGACGGGGUUUCUCCAUGUUGGUCAGGCUGGUCUUGAACUCCCGACCUCAGGUGAUCCACAUGCCUCAGCUUCCCAACGUACUGGGAUUACAGGUGUGAGCCACCGCGCCUGGCCUAUCUGACAGUUUUUAGGGCCUGGUAAAGAAAUGGGACUAGAACUGUUCCCAGGAUGGGUGUGAACGGGACUAGAUGAGAUAGGAGAGAAAAUGCAAACCAGAGACCCUGGGGGUACAAGUGGGGUCAUGGUCCAGGUGGCUGCAUGCCCUGACCAGUGUCGCCAAGGGCACCUGGAGGAGUGGCUCUGAGAGGUGGUUAAGAAGUACGUGUCUGGGUGACUGAAAGCAACAUGGCGGGGGGGGGGCGAAAAACAAAGAAAAGACAAGAAAGAACUCACCAGAAUUUCUUCUAGAAUGGACAACUUUAAGUAAAAAGAAGAAAGUGGAACAAAAGUAUCUCAGCCACUGUGUGAAAGGAAAUGAAACUCAAGUAGGAGAGAAAAAAAGAAAGGACUACCAACAGUUGGUUCUGAAGAUAAAACAUGCCCCAGCUUCACCACAAUGGCCAAAAUACAAAAGACUGAUAGUAACAAGUAUUGACAAGGAUGGGAAACAAAAGGAGCUAGUUGCUGGUAGGAAUGCAAGUUGGUACAAACCUUUUGGAAAACAGUUUGGCACUCUCUAUUCAAGCUGAACAUAUGAAGUCCCUAAGACUCAGCAAGUCUACAGCUGAAUUUUUGAGGAACAAAAAUUCAUAUAUAGGCUCACAGAAAGACAUUUAUGCUAAUAGCAACAGUAGUCAUAAAAUCCCCCAACUGGAAAUUACCCAAAUGCCCAUCCACUAGAAUGAACAGACACUGUGCUAUGUCCUUUCUAGAGAAGACUGCACAGCAAUAAGAAUGAUCACAACAUGGAUGGAUCAUACCAAACUGAGCAAAAGUGAUGGGCAAAAAGGAGCCUAGUGUGUGAUUUAAUAUGAUUCUACUUUCAUAUAGUUCAAAAACAGGCAGAACUAAUUUCAAUGUUAGAAGUGAAGAUAUGGUUACUCUUCGGGGAGGCUGUGAAGGAGUGGCUGUGGAGGCUGGUUUUGGAGGCACUGGGAGUGUUCAGUUUCUUCAUUUGGGUGACGACUACAUGCUUAUGUUUGAUUUAUACAAAAUCCAUUACAGUAUAUACUUACUACUUGUGACUUUUUCUUUAUGUAUUUAAUUUGUCUAUUAUAAGUUUAAAAUAUUUGCCUAUAUUAUAAACUAACAAGUCAUUGAAAAUCAUUUUGUUCACUUACUGAAGGUGAAGUUGGUUUAUUGUCAGCUUCACGUGGAUACAGAAUAAUUUUUGAACCUCAGUUUCUAUAUUUAUUAAAUAUGGAUGAUAAUACUUUCUUUACAGUAGACAACUUAGGGGAAGAGCUUUGAAUGUCGUGAAAUCCCAUACAAAUUGCUAGGGAGAUAAUGUUUUGUCCCCAUUCCUGAUGUUUCCUUUCCAUCAGCACAACAACCUUCAGCUCUCCCAACCUACUAACCAUUCUAUCCCAGGAGAGUGAAACUGACAAGUCUGUUAAGUAUAGAACAUCCCUCUUCAAUCUUUCCCUCUUGGAAUCUGGAGUGUCUAGCAUAAAAGGUUAUCGAACCAUAGAGAGACUGAGUGCAUUCUCUGAAUUUAGAUGGGUAAUAAAUUACAGAGCUAGAAUUUGAACUCAGAUUUCUCUCUGAUUACACAGACCAUGUUUUUAACCAUUCCACUGUAUUGCCUGCCUCAUAAGUAAUCUAUUAUAUACAAAAUAAAGAGCUGAAUUGUUUGGUACGGGUAAGAAUACAAUAGGAAAUCAGAGAAGGGAGUCUAUCUAGGGAUUAAAGAUGACAACACAGGCUAGGUGCAGUGCAUCACACCUGUAAUCCCAACGCUUUGGGAGGUUGAGGCUGAAGGAUUGCCUGAGCCCAGCAGUUCGAGACAAGCCUGGCUAACAUCAGGAGACUCUGUCUCUACACAAAAUUUAAAAAUUAGCUGGGCAUGAUGGUGCCCACCUUUAGUCCCAGCUACCCCAGAGGCUGAGGUAAGAGGAUUGCUUGAGCAUGGGAGGUCGAGGCUGCAAUGAGCCAUGUUCAUGCCACUGCACUCCAGCCUGGAUGACAGAGUGAGACCCUGUCUCAAAUUUUUUUCUUUUUCUUUCUUUCUUUUUUCUUUUUUUUGACAGGGUCUCAUUCUGUUGCCUAGGCUGGAAUGCAGGGGCAUGAUCUUGGCUCCCUGCAGCCUCCGCUUCCCGGACUCAAGCAAUUCUCCCCCCUCAGCCUCCUGAGUAGCUGGGACCACAGGCACAUGCCACCACACCUGAAUAAUUUUUGUAUUUUUUGCAGAGAUGGGAUUUUGCCAUGUUGUCCAGGCUGUUCUCAAACUCCUGGGCUCAAGCCAUCCACUCGCCUUAGCCUCCCAAACUGCUAAUGCUGGGAUUGCAGACAUGAGCCACCAUGCCUGGCAAUUUUUUUAAAUUUAAAAAUUAAAUUAAAAUUUAAAAGAUGAUGGCACCAGAUUUUUCUAUUCCCAUACUAUAUGUGUCAAUUCUUGCUAAGUUCUCUCAGUGUAACCCCCAGGAGCCAGUAUAGUUAGAAUUAGCGCUUACCUCGUUCUAAGCCAGAAUAGAAGAGGUGUCUGUUGGUGGCAAAAAUACAGUUAACAGGGUUUAAUUCCAGUGCCACAUGCCAGGGCACUCACACUUAGCCCAUUUCUCCAUGGGUUUAGCUGCAGUGUGUCAUGUACUGCUGCUGGUGUUUGCCUUUAAAUUCUAGACUGCUUUGUAAGCCAUUCUAAGAUAUUAGAAGGGACAGAAAGCUUAUUUUCAAGCACCUGAAGUAUGAGAAUAGGUAAAGGGUAUGUUAACAGCAUUUCAUAAAAGAUUAUUUUUGAGGUAUAAUGUUUAUUCAAUAAAAACAUUGAUUUGAGAUGUUCAGUUAAAUGGGGUUUGACAGCUUUAUACACACAUGCAACCACCAUUCAAAACAAGAUAUAGAACAUUUUCAUCAUCCCAGAAUCAUACUGUAUAAUUUUGUGUGCAUCUGGCUUUCUUUCACUCAGCAUACUGUUUUAGUAACUCAUUCAUGCCAUUGCACUAACCAGUAGUCUGUUUUUAUUGCCAAGUAGUAUUUAAUUUUUUUUUAUUUUUUAAUUUUUGUGGGUACAUAUUUAUGGGGUACAUGAGAUAUUUUGGUACAGGCAUGCAAUGUGUAAUAAUCACUUUAUGGAAAAUUGGGUAUCCAUCCCCUCAAGCAUGUAUCCUUUGUGUUAUAAACAAUCCAAUUAUACUUUUAGCUAUUUGUAAAUGUAUAAUUAAAUGAGUACUGACUAUAGUUCGCUCAUUGUGCUAUCAAGUACUAGAUCUUAUACAUUCUUUCUAACUAUUCUUUUUUUGUACCUGUUAACUAUCUCCACCUCCUGCUCACCCCCUCUGCCGUUACCCUUCCCAGCCUUUGGUAACCAUCCUAUUCUCUAUCUCCAUGGUUCAAUUGUUUUGAUUUUUAGAACCCACAAAUAAGUGAGAAUAUGCAAUAUUUGUCUUUCUGUGCCUGGCUUAUUUCACUUAACAAAAUGACCUCCAGUUAUAAUCAUGUUUUUGCAAAUGACAGGAUCUCAUCCUUUUCUGUGGCUGAAUUGUACUCCAUUCUGCAUAGGAACCACAUUUUCUGUAUAUAUUCAUCUGCAGAUGGACACUUUGGUAGCUUCCAAAUCUUGGCUAUUGUGAACAGUACUGCAACAAACAUGGGGGUGUAAAUAUCUCUUUGAUAUUCUGAUUUCCUUUCUUUUGGGAAUAUAGGUAGCAUUAGGAUUGCUGGAUCAUAUUGUAGCUCUAUUUUUAGUUUUUUGAGGACCCUCCAACUUUUCUCCUUAGUGGUUGCACUAAUUUACAUUCCCAUCAGCAUUGUCCAAAGUUCCUUUUCCACCACAUCCUCACCAGCACUUGUGAUUGCCUGUCUUUUGAAUAAAAGCCGUUUUAACUGGAGUGAGAUGA
ensembl:lncRNA